UGCAGCCUUUUCAAAUUCAGUGCUCUCUCCCUGAUGGGGUGCCACUGGCCAAAAUGGCUGCCACAGCAACAUUGUAGCUCAUGGGCCCCAUUGCCCAACAUGGCCAUCGGGGAUAAAUAUGUCCUGCACACAAAG